rnacentral:rRNA from 1 species
GAUGAACGCUAGCAGCAGGCUUAAUACAUGCAAGUCGAGGGACAGCACAGGUAGCAAUACUGGGUGGUAACCGGCAAACGGGUGCGGAACACGUACACAACUUUCCUUUAAGUGGGGGAUAGCCCAGAGAAAUUCGGAUUAAUACCCCGUAAUAUAGUUUGAUGGCAUCAUCGGACUAUUACAGCUACGGCGCUUAAUGAUGGGUGUGCGGCUGAUUAGAUAGUUGGCGGGGUAACGGCCCACCAAGUCUACGAUCAGUAGCUGAUGUGAGAGCAUGAUCAGCCACACGGGCACUGAGACAAGGGCCCGACUCCUACGGGAGGCAGCAGUAAGGAAUAUUGGUCAAUGGACGCAAGUCUGAACCAGCCAUGCCGCGUGAAGGAUUAAGGUCCUCUGGAUUGUAAACUUCUUUUAUUUGGGACGAAAAAGGGUCUUUCUAGACCAACUGACGGUACCAGAUGAAUAAGCACCGGCUAACUCCGUGCCAGCCGCCGCGGUAAUAC